AGGACGAACGCUGGCGGCGUGGAUUAGGCAUGCAAGUCGCGCGACGGACCUUCGGGUUACGGAGCGGCGAACGGGUGAGUAACACGUGAACAACCUACCCCAUUGUUCCGGAUAAUUGGCUGAAAAGCCUUGUAAUACGGGCGAGAAUCUGUCUAGGGCAUCCUUAAUAGAUUGAACGAGCAAUUGGCACUUGGAGGGGUUCGCGGCUUAUCAGGUAGUUGGUGGGGUAACGGCCUACCAAGCCUACGACGAGUAGCUGGUCUGAGAGGAUGGUCAGCCACAUUGGAACUGAGACACUGUCCAGACUCCUACGGGAGGCUGCAGUCGAGAAUCUUGGGCAAUGCACGAAAGUGUGACCCAGCGACGCCGCGUGGAGGAUGAAGGCGCUCUGCGUCGUAAACUCCUUUUACGGGAGAAGAACACAAUGACGGUAUCCCGUGAAUAAGCCACGGCUAACUACGUGCCAGCAGCCGCGGUAA
rnacentral:rRNA from 1 species